rnacentral:lncRNA from 1 species
CGAACGUGAUCUCCCGACGUACGCGAAGUACCUCGUGGUAUUCGCACAUUACAGUCCGCAGAUGUCCGUCGAGGACGUGCAACAUUUAUUUUAUCCUUCGGAAUCCGAACGGAAGGACCGAUGAGAAAUAGCUAUCGCGAUAAAACUUUACAACUGGUACGACGGAUAUAGGUUUGUCGUCUCGGACUCGACGGCAGUUCGGCUUCAGCGAUAGGAGCGGCGACAUCGGGAGCGACACCAGUAGUAACGCAGUUCCCUCAGAGCGACGAUGGAGCGAGACAACGGUCGCAGUUCAUCCAA